GACGAACGCUGGCGGCGCGCCUAACACAUGCAAGUCGAACGGAGAUCAUUUGGUAGAAGUUUUCGGAUGGACACCGGGUGAUCUUAGUGGCGAACGGGUGAGUAACGCGUGAGCAAUCUGCCUCAGAGUGGGGGACAACAGUUGGAAACGACUGCUAAUACCGCAUAAGCCCACAGCACCGCAUGGUGCAGGGGGAAAAGAUUUAUUGCUUUGAGAUGAGCUCGCGUCCAAUUAGCUAGUUGGUGAGGUAACGGCCCACCAAGGCGACGAUUGGUAGCCGGGCUGAGAGGUUGAACGGCCACAUUGGGACUGAGAUACGGCCCAGACUCCUACGGGAGGCAGCAGUGGGGAAUAUUGCACAAUGGGGGGGAACCCUGAUGCAGCGACGCCGCGUGGAGGAAGAAGGUCUUCGGAUUGUAAACUCCUGUUGUUGAGGAAGAUAAUGACGGUACUCAACAAGGAAGUGACGGCUAACUACGUG
rnacentral:rRNA from 1 species